UCCGGUUUGUCACCGGCAGUCUCGUUAAAGUGCCCAACUAAAUGAUGGCAAUUAACGACAAGGGUUGCGCUCGUUGCGGGACUUAACCCAACAUCUCACGACACGAGCUGACGACAGCCAUGCAGCACCUGUGUUCCGGCUCUCUUUCGAGCACACCCAAAUCUCUAAGGGCUUCCGGACAUGUCAAGGGUAGGUAAGGUUUUUCGCGUUGCAUCGAAUUAAUCCACAUCAUCCACCGCUUGUGCGGGUCCCCGUCAAUUCCUUUGAGUUUUAGCCUUGCGGCCGUACUCCCCAGGCGGGGCGCUUAAUGCGUUAGCUGCGGCACGGAAUCCGUGGAAGGACCCCACACCUAGCGCCCAACGUUUACGGCGUGGACUAC
rnacentral:misc_RNA from 1 species